CAUAAAUGUUGGUUGAUAUUUUUGUUUAUAUUCAUAAGAUGAAAGUGAAACAACAAAGAUGUAUAUUGGAACUUUACUCAUUUGUCAAUGAUGUGAGCAACUUCUUUGCUAAAUUGGAUACUAGUUUUCAAAUACUAGAAGAACAGAUUUGCAAUUGUAGUAGCUAUAGGCACAACACACUUUUAAAUUUAAUCUUCAUUAUUAACUUUUUCUCCACCACUUUGUCAAGUCUAGACAAUCAUCAGAAUGAUAAACCAAGCCCCUGUUUGCAGUAUUUGCCAAUUUCUUCAGUGUAAAUGCUCCCACCGCGGUCGGUUUCAAGUUACUGACAUGUCACAAAGAAGUGACACCUAAGUUCACUUUUGGAGAAUCAGCAUGGGUGGUCGACUGGAUCACAAAGGAGGGGGUGCAUCCCAGGCAUGAGAAAAUGCAUGGGGCACAGACGGAGCAUGAAAGGCUGUGUCCAGCGCAUAGAAGGUCUUGUGUACCCACCAGAAUUGAUAGUAACUGAGAGCUAAUAUGUACUGAAUCAGUACAUUGUGCCAGGCACUGUACUAAGCAUGAUCUCAUUUAAUCUUCAUAAGAAGCCUAUGAGAUAGAUGUUUUUGUUACCCCUUUUUGUGAAGAAGGAAACUAUUAUGGCUUAGAGCAGGUGAAUGACUCACCUGAAGGCACACAGCUAAUAAAUAGCAGAGCUGGGAGUUGAACGUACGUUAGUCUGACUCUAGAACUCUAAAUUUCCCUACAACGUCUGAAAAAAACUCUCCUUUCUUAUAGAAGCCCAGGCAGAAAGUGAUGGGGCUUGAACUGAGGCAGGCUGUGAUGGGGGACAGGGAGGAGGAAAGCAGUAAUGAGGAAAUAGCUCAGACAAAAUUCAUAACCAACUGGUUGUGGGAAGUAAGAGAGGGGGGUAGGGAAGGAGUAUGACAGCAGAAUUUUUGACUUGGACAGUUAGAUGAACACUACUGCCACUAACCAAAGUAAGGAAUAGGGAGGAGGAAGUAAGGAGAGGAAGUGGGGAGAGAGAUGAUCAAGUGGUUUUGGAUAUGCUGAGUGAAAGGCAGCCUGAGGCAUCCAGGUAGAGAAUAUCUAGGAGGCAUUAUAAAUAUGGCCUGGACAUUAGGGAAAACCUAGCCUGUUGGUCUGGAUGUGGCUCUCAUAAACUUGUGGGUUUGGUGGUCUCACCUGUGUGAAAUCAUUCAGGAGAAGUGACAACAUUUACCUUCAGUAAACCAAACACUAAGAACCAACAUGGAAGGAUAUUCUUCACAUUUUGAUAUGUUACUACUUGGUUGAGCAUUCCUAGAAGGCUGAUUUUAAUUACUGCAGAUUCUAUUAAACAAUAAGAAAGCGGUCUUUCUGGGAGUUGCUGCAAUACUUUAUUUUUGAGAUAAACCAUCAGUUACCUUCCACUGGAGAGGCCCCACUUGAAUGUAAGGCCUGCUCUACAGACCCAGACUGGGGGGUUCCCUGCCCAGACCAGCCCAGAAGCUGUUUUCCUGGAGUCUCCCAUCCCACUCUCUUUGGAGGGGGGGGAAGGAAUAUAAGGGAAUGGGGGAACUUAUGAUCUUGCUGGCCAAAAAAGGGAAGAUACUACCAAUCCAUGAAAGCUCUCUGCUGGCAACAAAUCUCAGAGAAGAGCAGGUGUUCUCAUGCACAUGAGAAUAAGAACCCUCCCAUGGUGCCUAUAAGAUGAGGAUUCGUGGGCUCCUCCAAAAAUUCUGAUUCACUGGACCUGGGACAGGGCCGAAGAAUCCACAUUGUAUUGAUUACCUCUAUUAGUCAGUGUUCUCCAGAGAAACAUAUGUGCAAAAAUAUUUAUUUUAAGGAAUAAAUAACCUAAUCUGCUGUCUGUAAGCCAGAGGUCCCAGAUAGCUUGUGGUAUAAUUCAGUAAGUCCAAAGACCUGAGACCCAGGGUUGCUGAUGGUGUAAGUCUCAGUCCAAGACCAGAAGACUGAUGUCUCAGCUGAACCAGUCAGGUAGAGCAGGGACAAAUUCUCCCUUCCUCUGUUUUCUGUUUUAUACAGGCCUUCAAAUGUUUGGAUGAUGCCCACCCACACUGGCGUGGGCCAUCUGCUUUACUCAGUCUACAGAUUCAGAUGGUAAUCUCAUCCAGAAACACCCUCACAGACACACCCAGAAUAAUGUUUGACCAAAUGCCUGGACACUUUGUGUCCCAGUCAUGUUGACACACACAACUCAUCAUCACAUUAUGUCAGCUGUCAAGACACUUGUGACUGCACAGAGCCUCCUGACCUGACAGCUGGGCUGAAUGACUGGCCACCUCUUGUCUGUGCCCACACAUCAACUGCCACAUUCAGCUUGUGAGACCAGAUUCCUUCCAGCCGUAGACCCAUCCCCACAAUCUGCCUCAUCUCAAAGUUCUGAGUCCCCCCGUAUUCCAGGGGUCAGACUACAUGACUGACAGGCUUCUGAAACAUGAAGACCUUUCUUGCAGAGAGCUCAAAGAGGGUCAUAAUCAGAUGGAUGACAAGUAAGACUACAGUGAGAGGGAGCUGCAUGAGAACACACCCUAAAUUAGUUUCAGCUUUCCUGCAAAUCCUUAUAUAUUCCUUCUGUUGAUCAACUGAAAACCCAAAAUCAAUCUAAUUCAAUUCUGAAACUGAACAUGGAGCCAGACGUUGUAUAGGUGCCUGGGACCGGUAGUGAAUAAAAGACAUUUCCUAUGUCCUUGAGAGAUUUAGUCUUUGGGGAAGACAAAUAUUAAACAAAUGUGAAAAUA